AGUUUUUUACCAGAUAAGCUUUUUAAAAAAUUAUGUUCAACAAUUAUCUUUUUAUUGUAGUUAAGUUUUUCAAAUUCUUGCUGUUUUCAAUAUCUCCUGGUUUCAUCAUCCCUACUGAGAAAUUACGUAUACAAUCUUAUAAUUAAUUGUUUGCUUUGGUCUUCUUUUAUUUUCCUGCUUUAUGAUAAAAUUUUCAUUAGCCUAAAUGUGUUAUUAAUUUUUCUUGUUUCUUAAAUAUUUGUUCAAUAUUAUAUUCACAACUUUAAGUUCAAAGGAUCAGUUUUCUGAACAGAUCUUCAUACACUAUAAAUUCCUUGUUGUAUGACCAUCUCUAAUAAUUUUAUUUUUAAUUUUUAGGUAAUGCCUGAUUAUAAUUUAAAUAAGGACGUUGACAAAAAUUAAUGAACCAUUUGCACAAAAAAUAUUUGAAUCAACAUUUAUUCACUCCUGGAAGAUAUUAAAUAUUUCAACAGAAUAUUCCAAUGGAUGGAACUUUUUCCAGCAUCUGGAUUAUUUUCCAGGUUAGACACAUGUUUGUCCACAGACUUGUCUUCUCUGAAUGAAAUCCAAAAGUUGUUUUUACUCCUAGAACCCUCAAAGCCUCUCUGUUUUUUGUCUAUCUAUUUUGCUCACUGUUGUUGAAUCUAUAUUCUUCAAAUGUGCCUUUACCAAGUCUCCAAAAUCACUGUGAGUAUAUGAUUCUCUGGGUAUGAGGUUGUGUAGUCAUGUCAAAUUAAAAUUUAAUAUUCCACAUACAGUCUGCACAGACAAAUAUAAGAAAUUUUGUAAUAACAUUUGUCUUGGUUAGUGUUGAUAGCUGAAUGCGAUUUCUUAUUCUACUGUGGAUCAAUAGAUCAAGAUUCCUUCAGAGAGGAAAGGCAAGUACCCAAAGGUUUUCUUCUAAUGACUGAAACACGUGGUCAGAAGACACACUAUUAACACUCGUCCUAAUAAUUUUUCAGCUAAAGAGUUGGGAAUGUAAGGAAAGGAAAUGGCUAGACUAUUCAAGAUUCUACUGGCAGAUUAUUUGUGAUGGUUGGUCUCUUUUUGCCUCCUAGAACAUUCAAGAGUACUUCAAGAGUUUUCCUCCCAUCUCUGGUGCAUCAAGUCUCAGCAGGUUUAGGAGCAUCCUCUCCCAUUGAGGCCAGCCAAGGUGGCUCCUACACAGGUGCCAGAGGGCCUCUGAUCAGCCCUCUGAUCAGACGUAUGUAUGAUGUAUGCUCUUUGGUUGGUGGCUCAGUCUCUAGGGUCCAGAUGCAAAGGAAAGAAGAGUUAAGAAAAGAAGGCCUUUCAUAACAUAUUGUUCCACAGGGGCUCUGAGCCCCACCAGGACAAAGUUUUCACAGUUGCUAGAGUUAACAAGACACGAAACCUACUAGGAAAAGACCUGACUUCUAUUUGCCAUGAUGGAAAACUCCCCACAGUAAUUCUGGAAUGUUUUAUGUUACUAUCUGCCUUAUGGACAAGAUCCUGCUUCUUAAAUGAACCCUAAUCUCUUCAAUUCCAUCAGCAUGAAGAGAAACAAUUGUGCAUCAAAUCAUUGGCUAUACAAUAAGGAUAUGCUGUCUCUCAACAAAGAAAAUGGAACCAAAACUGAGGGUAUAUUGGCAAUAUCACUAAACAUAGCAUCAUGUCAAACAAUAAAGAAGUUGGAUUGUGAAAAAGAUGUAAACAUAAAAACAAUCCAUCUGUGCAUAUGGUAGCAUGUAUCUUAAAGGAAUUACUUCAAAUUAUCAAAGGAAAUUUGCUGACAUCUAGACUAUAUGAAGAAUGACUUGGGGUACAUGACCAGGUCAAUGAAGAAGAGAAAGUAGCCACUGUGCAGAGUCCUUAUUUCAAAUACCUCCCACCAGGACCAAAUGUGUAUGGUCUUGUCUAUUGAUAAGACAGAAAACCUACUUGAAAAAGAGCUGACAACAAUUUGUGAUGAUCGAAAUCUGCCCACAGAAAUUCUGGAUAUGCUGUUCUUCAUCCAAGAAAAGGGGCCCCAAAUUCAGGAUAUAUCCAUAAUUUCACACAACAUAGCAUCAUGAAGAAGUUGGAUUGUGAAGAAGAUGUAAACAUAAAAAAAUAAUCCAUCUGUGUAUAUGGUAGCAUGUAUCUUAAAGGUAAGGAAAGUCCUUGCAUCAUACACCCUCAGGAUUCUUCUCAAUCUAUUUGAGUAGUUUCCUUCAUUAUGCAUUCCCUUGAGUGGUAGUAGAUAACAUAUAAGAGAAAUCUGAUAAAAAAGCAAAAACAAAAACAAAAAGCUGUCAUAAUGAGCAGUAAUGUAACUAAGUAUCUUUCAUUUGAUUCUUCCACAAGUAUAUGGAGAGUCACUUCAUACAUGCAUAUGAGUUUCACCUGAUAUGCAUGCCUCCUCAGAUGCAUUUGUCUAAGAGUGUUCUUAAGGGUGUCACUCUCCUUUUUUUCUGAGAGGCAGGUUUCUCUUCCUAGGUAUAGAGCACGUGACUCCUUCAUGUAUAUCUUUGCUGUACAUACCCAGUAGAAUCUCUUGGUCUGCUUGUCCCUCUCACUCACAAAAUAUUGGUAUCCAAAUGAAGGUUCACAUGGCUAUGUAACACGUAUUCUUAAGUACUGGGCCAUUCCUUCAGCACCAUAAUUUUAUUGUUAUAUUUAAAAAUUAAAAUCAUUUCACUCCUCCCUAUUCCUUGCUCUAAUGUUGUUUCCCUUCAAUCUCCCACUUCUGAUAAAAUACAUUUUCUUUAACUGUUAUUUUGUAGAUACAAAUAAAUCCAUAAAUAUGUUCAAAUAACCUGAUGAGUCCAUUAUCCUUGUUAGUAUCUGUACUAUUUCCAAAGGAACCAACUGUGAUUGGCUUACAAAUUAGGGGGUUCAUUUUUGAGAAAGACCAAUUUCCUCACUCUUCAUAGUAUUUAUUUGCAUGUAGUUCCUUAUCUAAAAGUUUGACUUCAUGAGAUUUCCUCAUUUUGAUUUAGUGUUACUAACUUGGAUAAUGUUUUGUUUAGAACUUGCUUAAACAACCAGACUGUGGGACUAACAAAAGUGAAGCUUCUCCUGCAUUUCUCUGAGGCCCAAUCCCAAAGCAGAUAUCCUGAUCCUCUGGAAUUACUUCAAAUCACUUAAGAAAGUCUGCUGACAUCUCGACUAUAUGAAGAAUGACUUGGAGUACCAGACCAAGUCAAUGAAGAAGAGAAAGUAGCCACUGUGCAGAGUCUUUUAGAAAACUACUGCACUCACAUGUUACUCUUCUAAGACAACGUUUCAAAUUAUUAUAUUAAGUUGAGAGGAAUUCUUCUGUGAACCAGAUGACAGCUUAUGAUUUAUCUGUUGUGCCAAGUAUCCUAUAUCUGCCUAGUUCCCACAAUAAACGAUUAGCAAAUGAUAUUGCCAAAAAGAUUUCUCUUAUAAACUUUCCAAUUGAAAACUCCCUGAAAUUAUUUGAAGAAGACUCAGUUUUAGUUUAUUAUGAGACCUCAUUAUUUCACCCUUAUGGAGUGGACUCUGAUUCCCAGAAUAAUCUUUCUAAUCCAGAAGGCAUGCGUGCUAUAAAAGGAAAAGGGCAUGCAAGAGCUAAGUGAAUUCAACUACAACAAACGAUGACAUACCUUCUUUCAUAGAAUCAGAGAAACCUGAAAAAUACAUUUUUUUAUAAAUCAAUUAAUUACUUGUGAAUCUGAUACCCGCAAAGUCAAUGUAUACAUAGCCCCACCAGCACCAAACAAAAAGCAACUUGUUGGGAAUUAUCAAAUUCUGCCAGCACCAAUAAAGAAAAAAACCCUUCUUAGCAAGUCUCUCAUGGAAAUCUUUCUUCUCCAAUACUGGAUAUAUUAGCUAUCAUUGCUGAAAAGGGACAAAAGUCAUAUAAAAUACUAAGAACACUAUCAGUUGAAUCACACUGGUACACGAGGGAUAAAAUUGAUGCUGAAUAAGAAGAGGUGAAUUGGAGUCAAGAAUCAGUCCUUGUUAUAGUAUCUGCUUUAUAGGGGGAUUUCAUUCUAAAUAUAUAAAGAAACUUGCUUUCUACAGAUUUAUGUAAUUUAUUUGGUGUCUCUGAUCAAGAAAUUUGAUCAAAAGAUUCUGCUAUCCAAAGAUAAUGAUACAGUAAAUUCUUCGGGAACCAUACAAAGAUAGAAGAAAUGCAUUUUUAAAGUUUUCUACCACAGAUGCCACAACAAAACUUCAUCCUACUAAAACACCUUAUUCAUGUGUUAUUAAAGAUUAAAAUUUCUCCCAUGAAGACUUAGACUCUUAACAGUUUAUCUGUUCACAUAACCCCUAUAUUCCAUGGCAUUCUACUUCCAGCAACUCGUUAUUUGGGAAUGACCUUUCCAAAAAGAUUUCUAUUGAAGAAAUUCUAACUGAAAACUAGCUCUAGAUAUUUGGAGAUGACGAUCAUACAUUUUAUAAAGAUAUUCCAAAAAGGUCUGAUGACAUAAAAAUGUCUUCAGGUUCACUAAAUACUGUUGAUAGAGCAUGUGCUAUGAAAGAUGCCAUAAGUGACCCCCCUGAGAAAACCUUCUUUAAUGCUAAUGCUGAAAAAUUAAAGAUUCCAUUUGCUGCCCCUCAGAAGGAAGGUCCUACAGAGAGCAGGGCACAACAAACAGCUUCUAUAUGUUCCGUGUUUAACAGUGGAAUCAAUGGCAGAGGAUGACUGAAGAUGCUUACAGCUCAUUCUACUUCAAAGUUCCUUUCCACCUCCCAUUCAACAAUAGAAGAAUAUAUCAUUACAAGACACUGCAGCUUUUAUAUUUUACAUUAUUGUUACAAAGAGUUGUCACUGAUCAUUUUGACUUUAUGCUAUAUAUUACACAUUCUUUAUUAUUAUAAUGAAUGUUAUUAAACUAUAAUAUUGAUUAAACUCC
rnacentral:sRNA from 1 species